GACGAACGCUGGCGGCGUGCCUAACACAUGCAAGUCGAACGGGGUAAAUUCCUUCGGGAGUUUACUUAGUGGCGAACGGGUGAGUAACGCGUGAGAAACCUGCCUUUCAGUGGGGGACAACAGUUGGAAACGACUGCUAAUACCGCAUGAUACUAUUUGGGGGCAUCCCUGAAUAGUCAAAGCUUUAUGUGCUGAAAGAUGGUCUCGCGUCUGAUUAGCUAGUUGGUGAGGUAACGGCCCACCAAGGCGACGAUCAGUAGCCGGUCUGAGAGGAUGAACGGCCACAUUGGGACUGAGAUACGGCCCAGACUCCUACGGGAGGCAGCAGUGGGGAAUAUUGGGCAAUGGGGGAAACCCUGACACAGCAACGCCGCGUGAAGGAAGAAGGCUUUCGGGUUGUAAACUUCUUUUACCAGGGACGAAUAACGUGACGGUACCUGGAGAAAAAGCAACGGCUAGCUACGUGCCAGCCGCCGCCGUAAUAC
rnacentral:rRNA from 1 species